rnacentral:rRNA from 1 species
CCUACGGGAGGCAGCAGUGAGGAAUAUUGGUCAAUGGGCGCGAGCCUGAACCAGCCAAGUAGCGUGAAGGAUGACUGCCCUACGGGUUGUAAACUUUUUUUAUAAAGGAAUAAAGUGAGGCAAGUGUGUCUUCUUGUAUGUACUUUAUGAAUAAGGAUCGGCUAACUUCGUGCCAGCAGCCGCGGUAAUACGGAGGAUCCGAGCGUUAUCCGGAUUUAUUGGGUUUAAAGGGAGCGUAGAUGGGUUGUUAAGUCAGUUGUGAAAGUUUGCGGCUCAACCGUAAAAUUGCAAUUGAUACUGGCAGACUUGAGUACAGUUGAGGUAGGCGGAAUUCGAGGUGUAGCGGUGAAAUGCUUAGAUAUCACGAAGAACUCCGAUUGCGAAGGCAGCUUACUAGACUGCCACUGACAUUGAUGCUCGAAAGUGUGGGUAUCAAACAGGAUUAGAUACCCCAGUAGUC